GGCAUAGUGUUUGGUGUUUGGAGCCUGUAUAUGGCCUGAGAGUGGUGCAGCCUCUGUUUCAUUUUCAGCCCUGGAAGAUGAUUUUUUAAGGUUUCUGGGAACCUCAUCAUCUGAUACAGUUGAUGAAACUGAACUUGGGAGAGAAACUGAACUUGGUGGAGAAGGUGUCUGGUUUUGGUUUCUGUCCACUAUAAUUGUAUAAAUACAUUCUUCAAAUAAAUGAUACCUUUAU
rnacentral:sRNA from 1 species